UGUCACGAACGCACCACCAAACACACGAACGUUCUAUCAUGCAACCAUCAUCGAAUGAUCUCUGAAUCAUUAUGCUUCACAAUUGCUCAUCUCAUUAUGGCUUUGCCUAUGCUAUGACUAGCAAGACCUUGUCGAAGACGCUAUGAUGUAGCCGACUCGUCGACACGUGCACCCUAUUGCUAUCGGAACGUACAACUCUUGCUUCGAAACAGAACGCCGACACAUUGAAUGUAUCUUACUGCACACUCAAUGGCCACAAAAUUGUCUAUCAUGUCGCUACAGCACGUUGGAAUUCUACUCUUGAGCGACCAUGACAAAUGGUAACCUCCAAGAACGCGCCUGGCGGAUCCGCAGUUUCUUUCGCGUACGAGUGCAAUAGGUGUUAAUUACGCAAACGAUACAACUCGCUUCUUGAUACCUCUUUCGUUUUGCUAGCCUGUGUCAGCCGCAGCAUUACCAGUUGUCCUAAUUCGUUCCAACACACCCCACUUUUGGAAGCAAGGGCAAAGACUCAUCGACUCUGGGUCUAAACGCACAAGACUUAGCUCACGACACGCAUAACGACUGGGACCUCAUCUCGCACACUCAAUAUAGCGCUGGAAUGCACUGUACACCGAAUUUACUCUCUGCGCUAGUCCUGUGUUGCUGUGAUGCCACAGAGGCGGGUCCAACAACGCCACCCUGAAACAACCAGACACCGCUUCUUCAACCUACAGUAUAAGCACAGUAACUCUAUCGUAAUCGAUUUAGAGUAGAGGGGUCGGAACAUAUAUACGUCGUGCAGGGGUCGCAAAAGCUCGUAAUCGUGCGUUAUCCACACGUGCUUUGUAAACGUGGGAUUUAAACUUCUACUCUGAGUUGCCCCCACCCUUGGGUGUGGUUGAUAGUACAAGUAAUUUUUCUACAGUUCAAUACAUUAUUCAA
rnacentral:misc_RNA from 1 species